AAACAACACAGCAGAAAGGCGUCUGGGAAGGAAUAGCUUUCGCUUCUUUCCUUCUGAGGAGGAAAUGACUAGCUGACCAGGAGUUGGUGCUCACCCUGCCUGGAGCCAGGACCUGGAACAAGGACCUGGAGCAUACCCAGAUGAGGAUGAAAAUGCAGCUUCAGCUCAGAAAAACAAUUUCGUGACAAAGAGACUUGUUCUUUUCAAACCUCACCCAACAAAUGAAACUGACAGAAUGAAACCUGAGAAACUUUAGCGACCAAAGAAAGCAGCCUUCCAAGGAUCAAGUGGAAAUUUGCCAAGGAGUCUUCUAAUCUGCCAGCCUGUGAAGAAGGUGAACUACCCCAGAGAAGUCUACCAUCCAGACUGCACAAGGACAACAGGAUCACGUGGCCUUUCUGCCAGAGGAUGGCCAGGCCAGGGGGGCCACCUGUUCCAGUUCCUAGCUACUUCCCUCCCACCAUUAGUCAAUGGACUCACCAGCCCAGGAAAGCAUAUUUACAAGCUUGAUGCAAAUGAAUCCUUUGGCCUUGGAAGUCACCUGCUGAAGAUGGAGGAGUCACAGCGGGGAAACGUCCCAGAAUCAUGGCCCAGAGAGGAAAGUUAAAACAAGUUUUGGAUUUCAUGAGAAAGAAGAUACACUUGGAUUGUGUUUAAACCAUUAUUCAUUUUGAGAUCUGACAGUAACAAGAGGUAGUAUUAGUAUAACUGAUACAUUAUUGUUACAGUUUUAACUCUCCCAGCUUGUCUGAAAUGACUGACUAUGGAGUGGCUGAGGGAACAGGAAAGGCUGUCUGGAAAAUACAACCGUCCCUUUAAUGCUGCCAAAUAGUCACUGGACAAUGUGAGGAGGGUCCACAACUUUCCCAUCUUGGGGAAGCUGGUCCUUGUUCUGCCCUCGUCCUCUGGGGAAGGGCCCAACGAGCAGCAGACAAUGCGCAGUCAGACCACCAGCAGCAGCAGAGGAUGUGGAGCAACCCCAGUCAGCUCUGUGCCUGCCACUCUGUGUUUCUUUGCUGCCCUGCUUCAUGGAGGCCAUGUACCCCUACCCACUUUGCCUCUGAUAAAAGGGAGAAGUACUAAUCAGAGAUGUUACCCAACCCCAUUACGUACCAUCCCUGCUCAGUGCUUCCUAAAGCAGCAUCCUUCAUUCUCUCCCUGUGGAAAGCAAAGAGCUAUUUAGCUCUCCUGGUGAGUAAUGCCAAAAUAUUUGAUUAUUAUUGUCUCUCAUUCAGAAGAUUAUCUGUCAAAAGCAAAUGCUGUGAGUCAUGCUUUAGAAAAAGGUGAACAGAGGAUAUGCAACCAAACCCAAAAGGUGGCAGACUGGAGUGGGAACAAUCACUGGGGAGGCGUUUUGUGGCCCCCGCCUGUGGUCAAGUGGGACCAACAAGGCUUCCCCUUGUGUUUCUCACAGGGGGACACUGUGGGGACCAGCAAUCGUGUAAAAUGAAAGUGCAUUCUGAUCUUAUAAAAACAGCUGAUGAUCCUCAACUAUUUACUGUGAAGUCUUUCUACAUAGGUUGCUUAAUUUCUCAACAAGCUUAUUACAUAAGUAUUAUAAUGAGCCUCACUUAUGAGGUAAGAAAACUGAGGCUCAGAGAGGAGAAACUAAUCAACAUCCCCAUGAUCCCCGGGGU